CAUCGCUCCAUCUAGCAGCCCUCUCUUCAGCCAACUCCAUCAAACUCCGAUGAUGCUCCGGUGACUCCACCAACCUUGUGCUUGCUCCUGGUUCUAGAAAGGAGUGAACAUCUAAAAAGAGGUUUUUGUUACUCUAAUUUUGCUCACGACAUAUGGAUCCAGAGGCCGGCAAUACGCAAUCUUCUAGUUGUUCAAGUGGCAAUGUUCGUUUGAAGA